AUUUCAGGACCUGCAGACCAGCCUGACUACGAGUGCACUGUUCCAUGCUCGACUGCUGCCAUGGAAACGCCCUGCAAAUGGGCGUGGGAGUGUGAGUCACAUGGUCACCAAAAGGGGAGGCGGAGAGGUUUCCCUACAGACUAGUGCACGCGGAAUUCUGCUCUUUCUCCAGCGCAGCACAUUUGGUGGGAUAUGUGAAGGAAAUGAAGAGCAUAGCUGAGCAGUGAGUCAUGCUGUUUACUGGUAAAAGCCUCGACCAGCGGCAGGGAAUCACACCCUCCCGAUCUGACGUUUCCUGGAAAAUCCCGUUGUUUCGCAGGGAGGAAGGAACAGUACAGAGAACCUUGGAAAUGGCUGGCAACUUUUGUGCGGAAAGGGAGAAGAACUCGCAGAAUAGCUGAGCAAAGAUACUAUCCCAACCAGGGACACUGGGAUUCAAAGAAAUGUCAAGAAUGCAAAAAAAAAAACAAUACAUACCCCCACUUUUUACUACCUGAAACCAAUGUGUGAAUAAUAUAAUAAUAAUAAUAAUAAUAAUAAUAAUAAUGUUUCCAAAAAAAGCAUACACCACAUCCCUCACAACAAGAUAUACCAAAGCAAAGUUCUUCAGUUGAAAAUAGUAUUAAUAAUAAUCCAAUACUAUCCAGAUGUCAGUGCUUCUCCUUCAGAACAGUCAGCUGAGACACCAGGACAGAGAAGAGGUGACAGCAUAGCAUACAUUCUGAAUGCGGUGGAACUGUAAAGCGUUGGUUUGUGCAUCUGCCAACAUGCAAUUUGAGUCACGGUGGGAUCAGGAAGUUGCCAAGGAAAAAGAUCAACAAUUGAAUCAGCAUGUCAGUCCCAGGGAGAAGAACCAAGAAGAAAUCCCUAAUAACACCACAAUCCAACAAAAUAAAUAAAUAAAUGAGUAAUCUUGACACUUGCCACACCUCCCACUAUAAUGAGGUGAAAGCAGCCGGUUGAGAUUUGGUCACUGACAGAAAAGCAGCAGAAGGCAGAAUGCUAAUCCCUGUGGGUGGCAGAGUUAGCAGCUUGAGACACUAUACAACUGUCAGGGACUCAAUUCGGACUGAUACACCGCAGGCCUGUAAAGACAUGCACCUGUUAUUGCCUGCCUACACUCUGUUUGGCAUGUUCAGCUGUGAAUAAAACCACUGGCUUCCAACAUCAAUAAUCAAAACUCAACAUCUUUUUUUUUUCUCCCAGGAAUACGAGCAAAACACAUCAUGACCAACGUGUUCCCUGGGAAUUUCACCAGCUGUGCCUUGUCACUAUCACGGACUAUUCGGGUGGUAAAAUGAGUCAGCCACUGUUACUUCUCCAUCCAAAGAAGACAUCAUGACUUUGGUGACUGAACCACAUGUUCACCUCAUGACAGAGGAGUGCACCGCUCCCACUGUUUGUCUGUGCACCCACCAGAAACAACAGUGAAUCACAAACGCCUCUCAGAUACACAUUUGUGACCAUCUAAGUGAAACAAGUUACUCAAAGACAAAUAUUUUCCAUUAUCACAAUGGCCUUAAAAUGUCACAAGUCUUAGUUAUUCAAUAAAUCAAACACACACUAAACUGUAUAAAGCAUUAUUAUUUCUGAGGUAAAAUGGUGUUGUUAGGUAAUUAUCAAAAAAAAUCAAAUGUACCUUUAAGACACGGUUUC